CCUAGGCUAGGGUCUGGGCUCAGAUACAGCAAAAGUUACAAAACUGUCGAUGUCGUCAUGAGCUUUUCAAAGGUAGUUUCUCAACUGUGGUUUAUUCAUUCAUCAGAAAAGGGCCACUAAGAGUCGCCCUGAUAUAACAUACCGUGGUUUGAAGUAAGACAGAUUCAUGCUCAUUUGUUUAUAUUUAUUUAUGAUACAAUUAAAAAGUAUAAAUAAAUCAUUUCUAAAUAUAUUUAUUUAUAUUAUUUAUAUGUAUGUAAUAGAGUAUGUGUGUGCAUUUUGCUAUUUAUUCAUAUUAUAUAUUUUUUUUACAUUGGUCUGGGUGAAUGCACAAUCAAAACUUUUUUAGUAUAUAAGUUGUUUUAGUAUAUAAGUAUGUGCUCCAUUAGUUUUGUUGACAUUUUAUACAAUGGUUAUGUACUGUUGUCAUAGCACCGUGAUUGUCAUGUGGCAGUGACCAGUCGUUCCAACAUUUCAAUACAAUUAUGUACUCUCCUCAACAAGCCAGUCAGCUCAAGGCGACUUGUGAGGUUUUGGCCAUUGAAAUAUAUUGUAUCAGUUUAGCACUUAAAAUACAGGUUUCAAUUGCGGUGGCUUUUCCAUCAGGAUAAAUGGCUACACUACCUAUGGUUUUAGGAUUAUAUCCCCUUUAUGUCAUGAAAGGAUCUCCUGGGUAUAUCUCGUCAUGAAAACCACUCUUUAGGUGGCAGCUGAAGAGGUUCAGAUUAAUUCAUAGUGUUUUUCAUAAGGAGAAUGGCAAAUAGCCUAUUGUGUCCAUGAAAAAGAAUCCCUUUUCUCUUGUGCUGAUGCGACAUUUCAGUGAUGUUUCAUUACAGUUCACAUGCUUCGCUCCAUCUGAUAAAGUUGCCAAUGUCUUCAGACAUUAUCAUGCUCAGGCAUGGGCCCGCUCUAAUGAGUGUGUCCUCUCCGUCUGACACUGGAGGCUCACUUGAACUGAAUUAUUCACAAAGACGAAGGUGUCACACUAUCUCUUAGAGCCUUCACAGUUCCUCGGCUGAAAAUGUAUUCCUCGGCUGAAAAUAUGAUAUAUGAAUAUGAUAUAUAUUUCUGGGGCUGGUUUUCCCACGUCAGAUAGAGGAGCUGGGUGGAGAGAUGGACAAAGGCAGGGACAGAUAUUGGUUUUGGUGUUGUUGUUAUGUAUUCUAUCCAGUGUAGGAGAUUUAAUUUAAUAUAUCUGAGAUAGGUUUUUGCUAAUUUAAUAAAACAGUACAGCAGUGAACGGUGCAUGGGAUUAAUUAAUGAGCCGUGGGUCUCUUAGGGGAGACCGCAGCAGCACCGAGGGCUCUGGGAAGACUCUGAACUGUGGGUAGAGCACUCCUCAGGGACCACUGUGCUUUUGAAAAAAAACAUUCUGCCUUUCUGUGGACGAGUCAUACUCCAUUUUAUAUCACUAUCACAGACUGCUUUGUUCAUCAGUUUGUUUUUAUUUACUGUUGUUAUUCUCUGUUUUUUCUGCUUAUAAUUUUGUGACUUUGCUAUCUGACUUGUUUUCGCAGAAAACUGUUCUGAUUCUGUUUUUAGCCAAAAGUGCACUUAGUGGUCCAGGAUGGAAAGCAUCCCAUCCAUACACACAUAUAAUACACUCGCACACAUGUACAGACAGACAGACAGACACACACACACACACACACACACACACACACACACACACACACACACACACACACACACACACACACACACACACACACAGUCCCACACUCAAAAAACACUGUACAUAAUGAAUACUGUAUAUAUAAUCGCACAAUUGUGGAGCUGUCAGCUUUGCUAGAACAACAGCAAGAAAAUCCUGGACCUGAAUGAUCUUAAAUUUGGCAGAGGGCUCAAACUCAAUGUUGACUGCUGGAAUUCCACCAAGCAGGUUGAGUUUUAAAUAUUUUAAAGUGUUAGACGAUGUGAUUGAGGUGUGUUUGUGAGGUGUGCAGUUCACCUGCAGUAGGGCCUGCUUUGUACAUUUCAGAAUUGUGUGAUUUCAGGACUCUGGAUAUUAAAUGAAUAACAUGCCUUGGGCUGAAGUAGUUAAAAGUGCUUGAGAGGUAAUGUGAUGUGUCAUAGUAAACAGCUUGCAGGCGCAUUCUACAGUAAGUCCCUAUUUGUUACUAUGCUCACAAAUUCUAAAGGCCCUAUAUCCUCAUAUACUUUAAAUAAUGAUACGUUUUUUUGUUAAUAAAUGGGCAUGAGAUGUAUAUAUGCUUUUUGAUGUAUGGUUAUUUUUAUAAAUGUAUGCUGGAUUGUACACAAACAACCUUCAGUCAUCAGCCAUGGCAGUCAGCACUGGCUGGUAAGAGCAGUAGACGCUUCUUCAGCGAUGUUCUGCACAUUUGUCAAAUCCCACCGACUUUGUACAGGAAUGUAUAUGAAAAAGAAGGACUUCACAUGUCUAAUGAUAGUGGAUGGUUACUGUGUGGGUGAAAGGCUAAACGUGUGUGCUGUCCUACGAGUCACUGCUUCUGCUUUGUAUUGUAAAUCUACUACAGUAUUGUAUGGAUGAAAUGUUUUGAACACCGGUUAAGCGCUACCAAAAGUAAAUUUGAAAAUGUGAUUUUGUGACUUUUAUGAUCUCUGUUUGUCAAGCACCCAUGAAGAUUUGACUUUUAUGUUUAUUCAGUAUGUGAACUACAAUGACUUGCUAGCCUUGGGCUAAAGUAAAAUGGGGGUCCAGUGUUCCUGCGUUUGUGGCGCAUCGGUAAAAACAGUGCCUUGAUGCAGAACUCCCUGCCCUGUGACAGGCUCACUAGCCCCUGAAGAACUGACACAGACCACAGACUCUGAUCAUUGACAGGCUCGCUAGCUCCUAAAGAACUGACACAGACCACAGACACUGAUCAUUGACAGGCUCGCUAGCCCCUGAAGAACUGACACAGACCACAGACACUGAACAUUCAAUCCAUAGAUAUAUGGUUUUGCUGGACUCGCUGUCAUGUGCAAUCUCAUGCAGCUUUACAAAAAAAUCUAAACAGUUCACUGAAGCCUGCUGUCUCGACAUCCUUCCCCCCUAAUAUUAUUAUGAUUAUUAUUAUUGUGAUUAUUAUUAUUAUUAUUAUUAUUAUUUGCAGAACUAGUAGUAGUAUAGGUAUUAGUCAUAUUUCCAUUCUGUAAAUGAUUUAACUUUUAUUUUAUUUUAGGUGUUACAGCUGUUUCAACUGUAAUAUCUUUAUUUUUCUGUAAAAAGCUGGCUGACAGACUUUUGGUUUGGUGUAGAUGGGGAUCGGCGAUGUGAAGAGGGGUGCUUCUCUUCUCUGCUUUUAAUGUGUCUGAAAUGCUCUUGCUUGUGAAUGGGCCAAAUGUUCAGUGUGUGUUUGCUUUAAACAUGUUGCUCUUGAACCAAAUCUCUAUCUUGGUAGAAAGUAGAAUACAUACUUACACCAUGGAACUAAUCACACAAAAGCUUUCUUAUCUGCUUGAUACUUAACUACCUUGCAUAUGAUGGCAAUCAUAACUCCCCCUUAUCAUUCCUGGAGAUAAAGUAACUAUCAAACCUAAAAUAUGGCAGCAUUAUGUUAGCAUACAGUAUGUGCUAGAGAGAAGGAGAGAAUUGAGGGAGCACAAGAGGGAAACACAGGCCAAGUUUAAUAAACUCUUCAAAAAGAUAAAAUGGCCUUUGUCAUCUGGUGUUGAUAAAGUUGUGAAAUGAGUGCUGUCAUUCCACAGAAGAUGCAUUGUUCCACAGCAGCGGCCUGUAUAAGUGACAGGUAGUUGCAACAAAUCCAAUUCAGUUUUUGUAAGAGAUGCUAUUUGACCGCCGAAUGAAUGACAAUCAAAUGGCUUCUACUUAAAUAAAUGGGUU
ensembl:lncRNA